rnacentral:lncRNA from 1 species
AUGCUGGGUCACACCUUGGAGGUGUUGUCUUCUAAUGGCUGAUACAGAAACAGGAUCAAGUCCAAGAGGAGAGAACCUGAUGGAGAAGCCUCAGACAGCAGCUUCACCUCACAGAGAGGUCUUCCAGCAGGCUUGGGACAGGAAGAAGGAAUGAUUACAGGAGGCUACAGGAGACCACUGACAUGUCAGAUUGCCUUCCUGUAGGAAACCUUCCUGGUUAUUUCUGAGUGGAGGGAGAGGGACAUGUCAGUUGAUGCCUCAGACCAUAAGGAUCUCUGCCUAAUUGCCUGCUGCAGAAAGUGGAGCUGUGGCUUGGAAGAGGAAUGAUGCUGUGGAUGAGCAACAUGGUGUGUACACUGUAGAUUUGCUGUCAAAAGAUGAAGUAGUUAAAAGAUUCCUCAUCACAUUACUACACCUGUCUUUGCAAGUGAGUCAUUUUUCUUCUUCAAAUAGCAUCCCCAGGGGACAUUUAAUUCUGAAUGAUUUUCUCAUUAAAAAUAUGGUUCUACUCAUGAGAAACAGAAUGUCCUAGUAAAAUAGGGCAUGUCAGGGCCAGAGAUUUAUGGGUUCAACACCACGAUUGAAAUCUUGAUUACUGAA